ACAUUGUUUGGGUUGGGGGCUAGGGUUAGGGAUUUGGAUUAGGGUAGGGUCCAGGCUUGAGACCAAGUUGAGGUCACAGUGUGGGUCUGCAUCAGGGCCAUGUUCAGUGCCAAAAUUUGGGUCAAGGACUGUUGUAAUUCCACAUUGUUUCCAAUUCAUUGUUCCUUAGCUAUUCGGGGGGAAGUUGGGUGGUAUUGGGCUCCAUGCAGCUUGAGUUUCCGGAAUGAAAUGGCAUCAGCUGGACCACAGGAGGGAGCAGGACCUUCCACUGAAGGGUGAGCUCCCACAGUCCUGCACUGCCUUCCACCGCCUGCAGAGGGCGCCAGACCGCAGAUCCCGCCUUGAGCCCAGGCUGCGCAGCCACAGCUGGGACCAGAUACCCGCCUCUUCAGGACCCACUGUGGAGACGUCUGCAGAAUGUGGGGCGCCUUCCACCCUGACAGGACAAGCUGAGCAGGGUGUGGCUCUGCAGCCACACUGACCGGACCCCUUGUGGAGGACGCGCCCACACUGGCAGCAGUCCAACCUCCUAAGGACCAGACGCUGGAGGAGGGCCACUUCUUACUCCUUUGUGUGUUCUCCACAAAGUCCAGGAUGAUGCCUUUCAUAAAGGUAGAACUUAAGCUACGGUGCUCUUGUUUAUUUGCUUGUUCCUGAUCAGUACGUCUGAAAGAUGGUAACUAUUGCAUCAGAGAGAGAUCACAAGUAGACGGAGGGCAGGCAGAGAGAGAGAGAGAGAGGGAAGCAGACUCCCUGCUGAGCAGAGAGCCUGAUGCAGGACUUGAUCUCAGGACCAUGAGAUCAUUACCUGAGCUGAAGGCAG